GGUAUGUGGCUCAGAGGUAGAGCACUCACCUAGCAUGCAUGAGGCACUGGGUUCAAUCCCCAGCACCA
rnacentral:tRNA from 1 species